CCUAUGGCGAUUCCUCUGCCGGCUUAGCAUAGUAGUCUAAACUCCGUUACUCGGAUCUUUAUGAUUCUACGCACGUAUUCCAAGGACGUUGCGAUUCCUCUUCCUGCAACGGAUUUCUCCAGCCUCCUCUAUAUAGGGUUCUUCGAAGCUGCUCAGCAUACUCUAUACUGGGAAGUUAAGAGACACUGGGAAAUUAUUUGAAUCAAACUUGGAAGGAUCUCCAUUAAAAUUUCGCUUAGGUGGAGAAAAGUCAUAAAAGGUCUCAGCAAUGGUGUUGAAGGGAUGCGAGUUGGUGAUAAGAGAAGACUCAUAAUUCCACCAUCUCUUGGAUACUCAGAGGAAGGAUUGAAGAAGGAAAAUGUGCCUAAGAACUCGUGGCUUGUCUAUGAAGUAGAG